CCGGCGGCCGCGCUCCCCCCUGCGCCGGGCCGGGGCGUCCGGGGGCCGCGGGGCGCACGGCCGGACGGCGAGCGGAGCGCAGGGCAGGGCUCCCCGGCGGCGGCUUUCUCUCCACAGCGCGGCGGAGCGCGGACGCGCGCCGGGUCCAGUGGUUCUUAACAGUUCAACAGUUCUGUAGCGCAAUUGUGAAAUGUUUAGGACCACUAGACCCGGCGGGCCUGGCUGCGGCGGCGACAGCGACAGCGACCGCGACCGGGCGUCCCGCGCGCGGCCCGGGGUGAGGGCGAGGGUCAGGGACGCGCCGGGGACCGCCUGGGAGGAGCCCUCGGCCCCGGCUCCGCGCCCUCCAGUCCGGCCGAGCCUCCCGCGAGCCGCCGGGAGGUGGCCGGCCGUGGCGGCGUCCAGCGCGGGGACCCGCUGCGGUGCGGGCGCGCCGGGCCGGCCCACGCUCCUGGAGCCUUGCUGGCCUGGAGACGCCACCGCCGCCCUCCUGCACCCGAGGGCCCCCACCCUUCUCGAAACUCCGCCGAAUUCCCAGCCGGGACCUGGCGGGGCCCCGCGGGGAGAGGGAGCGCUCCUUGCCCCGCUUCCCGGGAGCUGGAGCGGCGGGCGCCGCGCCCUCCGGAGAGGAGCUCGUCGGUUUGGCGGCGGCUCGCGGGCAGAGAGCCUGGGCUGGACAGCGGGGGCCUUCCCUUCACAGAGGGCUCGGGGCGGGGGGCGAGCGCAGGGGCCCAAGAGAGCCUGUGGAAUGAACGAAGGACCCGAGGGCAGAAGCUGCCGGAGGGGAGAAAGCGGUGCGGCCACGCCCUCGGCAGUGGAGACGGGCCCGCAGCCCUGGAAACCGGGCGUCCUGGGCCAGAGGGUCCCUCCUGGGGCCUCAGGACCCCCUGCGAAGUGCGUCCUGCGAGCGCUCGCCCGCGGGAGAGACCUUGUGGGAGGUGAUGGGAGCCUGUGUGUGAAGCCCUGGGAGGGGCUGGCCCUGGGAGGGGCUCAGCAAAGGGUCCUUCCAUGCCACCUCCCUCAGGCAGGUCGCUUCUGCCUGGGAGAUGAGGCUGACCUGCCCCGAGCCUGCCUAGCCUGACGGUCUGGCCACACCCUCUGGGCAGAAGAGGGUUACCCUCAGGUCCCUGCCUCCGUGACCCAGUGUUUAGGGGGGUGCAGAGCAGCCUGGGUGGCGGGUCAGACAGGCCUGGGUUUGAGGCCCACUAGGGCACUGCCCACCUGGGCGGCCUUGGGCCAGUCCCCUGCCCUCUCUGAGCCCCACCUGCACAUAGGCGUGGCAGGGGAUGCCCCUCCCCUCCCCCUGCUGUGAGGACAGAGAAGUAAUGUGGAGGGCUGUGCUGGGAGAGCCGUGACUGCAGGAGGACCUGGCCCCGGCCCAGACUGCGGCCCCCUGGCAGCCCACAGGGAGGCGGUCAUGAUCCUGGGAGAAGGGUCCACCCUCAGGCCAGCACCUUCCCCCUUUGCCCAGCAAACUCCACUGCGGCCACUUCUCGGGUCUGUGGUGCUCUGAGGGGUAGCAACGAUGCUGCCCCAGAACCCCACGGCCACUUGGAGGCGAUUUCAUUCUACAGGGUUCUCCCUGCUCCAUCUGCCGGGUCCCUCAGCAGCUCAGUAAGAGGGGCUCCCCUCCUGGGGCUCAGGUGGGGGCAUAUGGGGUGCUCCCUAUUCUGCAGCUGGGAAUCAUUCGGUAGGGUGUGAAUAUAUACAUUACAGAUUGAUGGAAGUGGAGGUGUGUUCCAAAGCUUCUCCGUGUCUGGGGGCUGGCUGGCCUUUCUUUCUCCCCCCAGGCCUUGUUGUAGUCUUUCCCACCUCCUUCCGACCCCAGAGGAAUAGAAAUGAAGAUAGUUGGGGUGGGGCGUGGCCAGGUCCCCAUCCUGGGCCCGGCUUCCGGCCUCAGCCCUCCCUCUGGCACUUUGGUCUCCCAGCAAGUCCCCAGCACCUGCCAUCAGCCUUCUCUUAGCCGGGGAAGGGACAGCUCUAGGACCCAGCAGACCCUCCCACCUACCUGCGCCAGUCCCCUCAAGGAGCCAGGCUGUGGAGAAGACUUGGUCCCUGGGACCCCAGUUGCAAUUGGCUUCUGCCUGCUUCCAGCCUUACCCAUUCUGGUCCCCUGGCUGGCCGUGACCCAUGCCUGGCCGGAGGCUCUGGCCACGGGGAGGAGCAGGGUUGGAGAGCUUAGGGGUUGGAGUGAUGGAGGACCCUCUCUUCACCCUCUCUCCUCAUCCUGGCACAGACUGAGGCGGAACUAGGCCACUGUGGUGCUGAGCCUGCUCUGGCUGUGCAGAUGGAGGGCCACUCCGGUUUGCCUGGGUUUCUGGUUUUAGCACUGAAAGCCCCGUGUCCUAGGAGCACCCUCUGUGCCAGGGGCAAACUGGGGCAGUUCGUCACCCUACUCUGGACCAGCUCGGGGAACACACUGCCUUAGCGCCUUGGACCAUUUACCAGCUUGUCUUUUUCACAAGAGAAAUAAACCUAUCUUUUUAAAGGUGCUGUUAUUUUGGUCUCUAUUAAAGUCUCUGAACCAGUACUCUGAGUGAGCGGUUCCAGUCGCCGGGAGGGCUGGCGAAGAGCACUGGGGCUCUGGGAGCAGAGUGGGCUGGGGAUCUGUGUCUCUAUCGCGCUCUGGCUGGUUGUGAUGGAACCCGAGGCUGAGAACCGCUGUCUUAGGUAGCAGACCUCAGCAAGAGAAAAAGAGUUAGAAGACAGGGAGGCACAGCCUCGAACCUGUGGCUUUCAGGGAUGUCCUGGGCUUGUGAUCCCCAGGGCAGCGGAGCCCAGAACAGAAACUGCCUGACUGUCAGCCCCUGUGUCCCCCCGCAUCCCUGCUCGAGCCCCUACUGCACGGACAGGCCGCUGGGGCUCGGGCCAGGCUACCUCCCCUUCUUCCACUUUGAAGGGUUCAGUUAAAUUGGGACCACCUGGAAAACCCCAGGUACUCGCCCUGUCUUAAGAUCAGCUGCUUGGCAACCUUAAUUGCAUGUGCCACCUUAAUUCCCUUUUGCCAUGUAAUGUAACUGAUGACAACAAUGAUAAUGCAAAAAAAUGAUAAGGUAAAACCGAGAUAUCUGCAUAAAAUCUUAUCAGCUGGCACCAGCAAUCGUGUGAGCACACACGAGAGUGAGAUUCCACAUGCCUUUGCUGUUGCGAAUGACCAUAGAGAGGGAAAGACAGGGGACUGUUCCUUACUUUCCCCACACCCUUGGUGACCUGGUGAGCCCUGUGAGAAAACAGCUCUGUCCCCUCUGGGUGCCCUCUGGGGCCAGCUGUGCCUGGCUCUCUGAUCAUCUGCUGUGGUUCUGAGAGGCUGCAGGGGCGGGGGUGGGGGACGUGGGUGGCAGAGGACACGUCCAUGAAAUCUUUCCUUGAGCCCUCCACUAUUUGGGCAUCAGCCUUCUCUCUAUUUUUUUUUUUUCAGUUUAUAGAGGUAUAAUUGACAUAUUGUAAGGUGAACAUAUUUAAAGGUACAAUUGAGACUUUUUUUGUGUGAGGAAGACUGUCCCUGAGCUAACAUCUGUUGCCAAUCUUCCUCUUUUUGCUUGAGGAAGAUUGUCACUGAGCUAACAUCUGUGCCACUCUUCCUCCAUUUUGUAUGUGGGACGCUGCCACAGUGUGGUUGAUGAGCAGUGCUAGGUCUGCGCCUGGGAUCCGAACUGGCGAACCCUGGGUUGCCGAAGCGGAGCGUGUGGACUUAACCACUGCACUACUGAGCCGGCCCCCAAUUGAUGACUUUCGAUGUGCGCAUACAUCCAUGAAGCCAUCGCACAAUCAAGAUAACCAGCAGACCCCCCACCCCAAUGGGGUUCACUUGGCCUUGAGAUACGUUCCUCUUUUCCCCACCCCCAGAGUUUUCUGUAUUGGAAGGUUUUCAACUGCAAAUUCAAUAUCUUUGAUAGAUAUAGGACUAUUCAGGAUAUCUAUUUCUUCUUGAGUUAGUUUUAGUAGCUUGCAUCUUUCAAGGAGUUUGUUUACUUAGUCUAACUUGUCACAUUGUAUAAAGUUACGUGUAAUACUUCA
ensembl:lncRNA